CUAAAUGUCUUGGUCUCGAUCUUGGAGCACUCUGGUUUCGGCCAUGCAGUGUGUGAGUUUAUAACACACAGCUAUAAGGCUUCAUGUUUAAUCAGAUAUUUAAUGAAUCUUUACACUUUCAAAAAACCUGUUUGUGAGACAGAAGAAA